rnacentral:lncRNA from 1 species
UAUAAGUGAUUAUUCAAAUGUUUGUUUUAACACUGUGAAUGCAUAUAAUAUGUUAAUAUUUUCAUCUUUUAGUUGUAAGGCUCCUCUCUAUGAUCUGGCUGCUCAUGAAGACAAAGUUCUGAGUGUAGACUGGACAGACACAGGGCUACUUCUGAGUGGAGGAGCAGACAAUAAAUUGUAUUCCUACAGAUAUUCACCUACCACUUCCCAUGUUGGGGCAUGAAAGUGAACAAUAAUUUGACUAUAGAGAUUAUUUCUGUAAAUGAAAUUGGUAGAGAACCAUGAAAUUACAUAGAUGCAGAUGCAGAAAGCAGCCUUUUGAAGUUUAUAUAAUGUUUUCACCCUUCAUAACAGCUAACGUAUCACUUUUUCUUAUUUUGUAUUUAUAAUAAGAUAGGUUGUGUUUAUAAAAUACAAACUGUGGCAUACAUUCUCUAUACAAACUUGAAAUUAAACUGAGUUUUACAUUUCUCUUUAAAGGU